CAUAUCAAUAAGCGAGAAAAGAACCCAACAGGGAUUGCCCCAGUUAACGGCGAAGUGAAGCGGCAACAGCUCAAAUUUGAAAUCUGGCCCCAGGCCCGAGUUGUAAUUUGCAGAGGAUGCUUUUGGCGCGGUGCCUUCCGAGUUCCCUGGAACGGGACGCCAUAGAGGGUGAGAGCCCCGUACGGUUGGACACCAAGCCUUUGUAAAGCUCCUUCGACGAGUCGAGUAGUUUGGGAAUGCUGCUCUAAAUGGGAGGUACAUUUCUUCUAAAGCUAAAUAUUGGCCAGAGACCGAUAGCGCACAAGUAGAGUGAUCGAAAGAUGAAAAGCACUUUGAAAAGAGGGUUAAACAGCACGUGAAAUUGUUAAAAGGGAAGCGCUUGUGACCAGACUUGCGUCCGGUGAAUCACCCAGCUCUCGCGGCUGGGGCACUUCGCCGGCACAGGCCAGCAUCAGCUUGCCGUCGGGGACAAAAGCUUCAGGAACGUGGCUCCUCUCGGGGAGUGUUAUAGCCUGUUGCACAAUACCCUUCGGCGGGCUGAGGUACGCGCUCCGCAAGGAUGCUGGCGUAAUGGUCAUCAGCGACCCGUCUUGAAACACGGACCAAGGAGUCAACCUUAUGUGCGAGUGUUUGGGUGUCAAACCCCUACGCGUAAUGAAAGUGAACGCAGGUGAGAGCUUCGGCGCAUCAUCGACCGAUCCUGAUGUUCUCGGAUGGAUUUGAGUAAGAGCAUAUAGGGUUGGACCCGAAAGAAGGUGAACUAUGCGUGUGUAGGGUGAAGCCAGAGGAAACUCUGGUGGAGGCUCGCAGCGGGUUCUGACGGUGCAAAUCGAUUCGUCAAACAUGCGCAUGGGGGGCGAAAGACUAAUCGAACCUUCUAGUAGCUGGUUUCCGCCGA
rnacentral:rRNA from 1 species